GAUGAACGCUGGCGGCGUGCCUAAUACAUGCAAGUCGAGCGAACAGACGAGGAGCUUGCUCCUCUGACGUUAGCGGCGGACGGGUGAGUAACACGUGGAUAACCUACCUAUAAGACUGGGAUAACUUCGGGAAACCGGAGCUAAUACCGGAUAAUAUAUUGAACCGCAUGGCUCAAUAGUGAAAGACGGUUUUGCUGUCACUUAUAGAUGGAUCCGCGCCGCAUUAGCUAGUUGGUAAGGUAACGGCUUACCAAGGCAACGAUGCGUAGCCGACCUGAGAGGGUGAUCGGCCACACUGGAACUGAGACACGGUCCAGACUCCUACGGGAGGCAGCAGUAGGGAAUCUUCCGCAAUGGGCGAAAGCCUGACGGAGCAACGCCGCGUGAGUGAUGAAGGUGUUCGGAUCGUAAAACUCUGUUAUUAGGGAAGAACAAAUGUGUAAGUAACUAUGCACGUCUUGACGGUACCUAAUCAGAAAGCCACGGCUAACUACGUG
rnacentral:rRNA from 1 species